UGAAAACACCAAUCUAGCUUCGUAUGAAUCUGCUCAACAACUAGUUUUGGUGGAUGUUCUGUUUUCCCUCAGUGGAAGAGAGGCCUCUUGACUGCCCUUCUGGGUCCUGCCUCCACAACCCGAGACGCAACAGGGGAGCAUCACGGACCCAGCGGGGAAGGACGGACACUGCCUCUCCGAGGGGAGACUCACCACCCCAGCGACCUGGCCAGCGAGAACCCGCCCUCACCCUGAACUCCUGCCAACCUCCGGGUCAGGACAGCCCUGCCCAGUGCCCUCCUCCAUCUCCGUUAGAUAACGCUCCGCUCCGUUCUUUGUUGGAUUUGCCCGUGGUUUUGCUCUGGCUCACAUGUCCUGAGUUGCAAUUCUCUGCUAUUCUCCGAAUAAACUCAUUUUGCUGGUAAAGUA